CACUCACCAACAGCCGGGCUGCCACCGCGACAGUUAUGUAUAUCAGUACCAUGAUAUAAAAAGCCCGGCUGACAAUCCACGCCUGUGCCUCAUCAACUUCCACCUCCGCCUCCCACACCUGCCAGCUAUCAGCCUCAUCUCUACCAGUAUUUCAACCCUGACUCUCCACUACAUCCCUGCUUGAUUGUCGACAUUCCAGACUUGUCAGCUGGGCUCGCUUACCUGCCUUCUCCCCUUGUCUCGCCUCCACGGCACUCCCCCAGCUCCCCCCUCACUCCUCGCCUGUCUGCCAGCCUCUACGCCCCUUCUCGCCUCUGCCUCCUGUUCCCUACCUCGGCCGCCUCGCUGGAACCUCUCCAGCCCCGCCAGCUCCACGGUCCUCCGCGCCCACGUCUGCCAGUGUCCAACUCCCCCGCCCCCUUUUCCUCCAGCCCCUCAUCUCCCCUUAUUCCCUUUAAUAAACCUCUUUGAA